rnacentral:rRNA from 1 species
AUUGAACGCUGGCGGCAGGCCUAACACAUGCAAGUCGAGCGGAGCGGCGGACGGGUGAGUAAUGCCUAGGAAUCUGCCUGGUAGUGGGGGAUAACGUCCGGAAACGGGCGCUAAUACCGCAUACUAUCAGAUGAGCCUAGGUCGGAUUAGCUAGUUGGUGGGGUAAAGGCAUACCAAGGCGACGAUCCGUAACUGGUCUGAGAGGAUGAUCAGUCACACUGGAACUGAGACACGGUCCAGAAUCCGCCGUGAGGCAGCAGUGGGGAAUAUUGGACAAUGGGCGAAAGCCUGAUCCAGCCGUGCCGCGGGUGUGAAGAAGGUCUUCGGAUUGUAAAGCUCUUUAAGUUGGGAGGCGUUACCAACAUAAUAGGCAAGGGCUAACUUCGUGCCAGCAGCCGCGGUAAUAC